rnacentral:rRNA from 1 species
GGCGAACCGUGCGAACGUUGUUCGGAAUCACUGGGCAUAAAGGGCGCGUAGGCGGCUUUUCAAGUCAGGGGUGAAAUCCGGCAGCUCAACUGUCGAAGUGCCUUUGAUACUGAGGAGCUCGAGGGAGGUAGGGGUGUGCGGAACUUCCGGUGGAGCGGUGAAAUGCGUUGAUAUCGGAAGGAACGCCGGUGGCGAAAGCGGCGCACUGGACCUCUUCUGACGCUGAGGCGCGAAAGCCAGGGGAGCAAACGGG